GAUGAACGCUGGCGGCGUGCCUAAUACAUGCAAGUCGAGCGAACGGACGAGAAGCUUGCUUCUCUGAUGUUAGCGGCGGACGGGUGAGUAACACGUGGAUAACCUACCUAUAAGACUGGGAUAACUUCGGGAAACCGUAGCUAAUACCGGAUAAUAUUUUGAACCGCAUGGUUCAAAAGUGAAAGACGGUCUUGCUGUCACUUAUAGAUGGAUCCGCGCUGCAUUAGCUAGUUGGUAAGGUAACGGCUUACCAAGGCAACGAUGCAUAGCCGACCUGAGAGGGUGAGCGGCGAAAUUGGAACUGAGACACGGUCCAGACUCCUACGGGAGGCAGCAGUAGGGAAUCUUCCGCAAUGGGCGAAAGCCUGACGGAGCAACGCCGCGUGAGUGAUGAAGGUCUUCGGAUCGUAAAACUCUGUUAUUAGCGAAGAACAUAUGUGUAAGUAACUGUGCACAUCUUGACGGUACCUAAUCAGAAAGCCACGGCUAACUACGUG
rnacentral:rRNA from 1 species